rnacentral:rRNA from 1 species
UACGUAGGGAGCAAGCGUUGUCCGGAAUCAUUGGGCGUAAAGCGCGCGUAGGCGGCCCGGUAAGUCUGUCGUGAAAGUCAAAGGCUCAACCUUUGAAUGUCGAUGGAUACUGCCGGGCUAGAGUCCGGAAGAGGCGAGUGGAAUUCCUGGUGUAGCGGUGGAAUGCGCAGAUAUCAGGAGGAACACCAAUAGCGAAGGCAGCUCGCUGGGACGGUACUGACGCUAAGGCGCGAAAGCGUGGGGAGCGAACAGG